rnacentral:rRNA from 1 species
GCCCUAGUAACGGCGAGUGAAGCGGCAACAGCUCAAAUUUGAAAUCUGGCUCUUUCAGAGUCCGAGUUGUAAUUUGCAGAGGGCGCUUUGGCGUUGGCAGCGGUCCAAGUUCUUUGGAACAGGACGUCACAGAGGGUGAGAAUCCCGUACGUGGUCGCUAUCCUUCGCCGUGUAAAGCCCCUUCGACGAGUCGAGUUGUUUGGGAAUGCAGCUCUAAAUGGGAGGUAAAUUUCUUCUAAAGCUAAAUACUGGCCAGAGACCGAUAGCGCACAAGUAGAGUGAUCGAAAGAUGAAAAGCACUUUGGAAAGAGAGUCAAAUAGCACGUGAAAUUGUUGAAAGGGAAGCGCUUGCAGCCAGACUUGCCUGUAGUUGCUUAUCUGGACUUUUGUCCAGUGCACUCUUCUGCGGGCAGGCCAGCAUCAGUUUGGGCGGUUGGAUAAAGGUCUCUGUCAUGUACCUCUCUUCGGGGAGGCCUUAUAGGGGAGACGACAUGCAACCAGCCUGGACUGAGGUCCGCGCAUCUGCUAGGAUGCUGGCGUAAUGGCUGUAAGCGGCCCGUCUUGAAACACGGACCAAGGAGUCUAACAUCUAUGCGAGUGUUUGGGUGUCAAGCCCAGACGCGUAAUGAAAGUGAACGGAGGUGGGAACCCUUUGGGUGCACCAUCGACCGAUCCUGAUGUCUUCGGAAGGAUUUGAGUAAGAGCAUGGCUGUUGGGACCCGAAAGAUGGUGAACUAUGCUUGAAUAGGGUGAAGCCAGAGGAAACUCUGGUGGAGGCUCGCAGCGGUUCUGACG